rnacentral:rRNA from 1 species
AGUGAACGCUGGCGGCAGGCCUAACACAUGCAAGUCGAGCGGCAGCGCGGGGCAACCUGGCGGCGAGCGGCGGACGGGUGAGGAAUGCAUCGGAAUCUACCCUGUCGUGGGGGAUAACGUAGGGAAACUUACGCUAAUACCGCAUACGAACCGAGGUUGAAAGCGGCGGACCGCAAGGCGUCGCGCGAUUGGAUGAGCCGAUGUCCGAUUAGCUAGUUGGCGGGGUAAAGGCCCACCAAGGCGACGAUCGGUAGCUGGUCUGAGAGGACGACCAGCCACACUGGAACUGAGACACGGUCCAGACUCCUACGGGAGGCAGCAGUGGGGAAUAUUGGACAAUGGGCGCAAGCCUGAUCCAGCCAUGCCGCGUGGGUGAAGAAGGCCUUCGGGUUGUAAAGCCCUUUUGUCCGGAAAGAAAAGCAUUCGGUUAAUACCCGGGUGUUCUGACGGUACCGGAAGAAUAAGCACCGGCUAACUUCGUGCCAGCCGCCGCGGUAAUAC